GACGAACGCUGGCGGCGUGCUUAACACAUGCAAGUCGAACGGAAAGGCCCUGCUUUUGUGGGGUGCUCGAGUGGCGAACGGGUGUGUAACACGUGAGUAUCCCGCCCUUGACUUUGGGAUAACUCCAGGAAACUGGGGCUAAUACCGGAUAGGAGCUCCUGCUGCACGGUGGGGGUUGGAAAGUUUCGGCGGUUGGGGAUGGACUCGCGGCUUACCAGCUUGUUUGUGGGGUAGUGGCUUACCAAGGCUUCGACGGGUAGCCUGCCUGAGAAGGUGACCAGGCACAUUGGGACUGAGGUACGGCCCAGACUCCUACGGGAGGCAACAGUGGGGAAUAUUGCGCAGUAAGCGGGAGCCUGAUACGACAGCGCCGCGUGCGGGAUAACGGCCUUCGAGUUGAGAACCGCUUUGGCCUGUAACGAGGCGUGAGUGACGGUAAUGAGUAAAAAAGCAACGGCUAACUACGUG
rnacentral:rRNA from 1 species